GGGCAGUUAGCUCAGCGGCAGAGCGUCCGCCUUACACGCGGAGGGUCGCAGGUUCAAAUCCUGCACUGCCCA
rnacentral:tRNA from 1 species